rnacentral:lncRNA from 1 species
UGAUACAUUCAAUAUCAAUAAUUUUACAUUGAUUUGAUUUUAUGCUGGUAAUUUAUAAAUAAGAAUUUUAAUUAUUUUCGUUUUCUCGGAAAUAAAGUUUAUAAAUAGAAAUUCUAGAAUAAUUAUUUUGCAAAAUUCAAUUUCUUCCCGUAAAUGGCACAAGAAUAUCAUAAAGUUAAAAAGUAACCGUAAAAUGCAUUGAUAAGCAGAUGUUUUCGUUUAAUGGGGGUGUUUUCAUAAAAUUUUACGUGUUUUUCUAAAAAAUUGACACCAAGUCACGUGACGCGCCGGAUCACGUGACUUAUCCUACCGUCUAUUUAAAAAUAUCGCAUUUCCUGUUAAAAAACCCAAAUGUUUCGUUUCCUAUUACGAAAUCCUCUCGUAACUUCCCUUCGUUUAUCUUAGUCACGUUAUCGCUGGAUUUUCUAUUUAAUCAAUGAUCCGACUUAAUUAAAAAAUAAAUAUUCCUUUAACUGUAUCUUAUAUCUUGGUUUUCGAUUGGAUGUCGAAAUGGAUACGCAUGAAAAGGUAGUCUUAAGGUUGCAAAAAUGCGAACAAUAAACAAAUAGAAAUUUUUCUCGCAAUGGUUUGUGAUGGAUUAAAUUUUCGCAUAUAUAUAUAAAUAUAUAUAUAUCCUUACACCUACAUCGUAAAUGCCCGAUUGAACCAUUAGCCGGAUUUCUCAUGCGGAACGACUUCUUACGUAACUUACGAAAUGCGCUUUGGGAGGAAGAAAAGUUUCGGUAUCUUUUUAACAUACGCUUUAUCGAUGAUUUAGUAAUUUUAUAUUUGAUAAAAUUCAGUUCUUGAAUUAAAACCGCAUUCAAACAGUACCACUGUAUUCGCUAUCAAAAAAAGUGAAACGAAUAUUCAAGAAGAGUAAAUGUAAAUAAUCAGUUAGAAUUCAAUAACAAAAUUUCAAAUGCCAUGUAGUUUUGAAAGGAAGUGUUUUGCCGAGAUUGCGCGAAAUUAGCGUACAACGUGUUGCUGGAAAUUAAUAUUUUCCAUUAUGUCUAUCCGAAAUUCGCCAUAAUAAAAACGGAUCCAUAAUAUUUCCUCCCCCAUGCACAGUCCACCUUCGCUUAGUAAUUUAAAUGGUUUCCACUGUCUCCGGAAAUGAAGAAAAUGCCACCGUACGUGUGUAGAUGGUAAUUAAAAUCAUUGCGCCAUUUUUAUAAAAAAGUACUAAUUAAAGAAGAAACCUUAAGUUGAGAAGAAAAAAAAUUGACGUUAAGAAUAGUAAUGUCGAAAAAUACCAUAGUUGAACAUUCCGGAAGUGAUACUGAAAUAUAAGGCAUUCGUAAGCCAAUCUGUUCAGGUUUCUAGAUGCAAGUCAACCGUUGACUUUAUCGCACAGGUGUCGAAUAUGGUUAUGUCAAUAAUUGCCAUAGUUGGCGUAAAAAAUAAACCGUAAUACGUUCAUAUUUUUUUUCACCCAUUUACAGUUAGAAUUUAUAUUUUUCCAAAUCCAGAAAAUCGAAAAGACGUUUUGAAAUACACGGAACAUUUUAAAAUGAUUAGUAAAUGACGACACGUAACACUGUGUUGUAAUGGUCCUUAUUACCGCAUUCUCAAAGUUUCAGGUAUUGAUAAUUCUAUAAAAUUCGAUUGGAGAAAAAAUAAAUAAUGGAAAAAAUGUACCCGUUCCUCCCAGACGCAAACAAGAAUCGAUUGAAUGAUUGAAAAUAGAGUUUUAUACAUACAUAAAAUCACACCCAAUUCGUUGUUUAAAGAAGUGAAAAAAAAAGCAGACGGAAAGGAAAACUUCUUUUUCAAUAAUCGCAUUCUCAUCAGUAACCAUGGCAACGAUAUUAUUUCCUGUUUUGUUCAGACGAGGGGGGAAAAAAGUCUAGAUGAAGCCGAGGCGGUAAAAGACACCGAACAUCCUCGGGGUCGGAUUCGACCAUUUCGUUAAUUCCAGAGGGGGUGGCCGAAUUUGAGGAUGAUGCGACGGCCCGGUCGAUUAAACAGUUCUUUAAACUCCUAAUGGACAGGACUCGGUGACGUCGAGGCUAGACCGAAUACCGUUAGUUUUUAAAGCAUCUGGUGCCGCUUUAUGGAUCCGUCUUUUGCUCUUUCUAAAAUUGAAACCGGUCACUAAUCGGUCGAAAUUUCAGAUGUAGGUUACAGACACAUGUUGAUUUCAAUAAGAUGAAAAAAAUUCGAGUCCGAAUUUUUAUUCGUUCGAUAGUCGAGCUUGAUGAAAAUUCCCUAAUUAAAUCGGGAAACAAAUUGGGAAAUGAGAUUGUUUAUUUUUAAUUCCCAGAGAAAGUUGGACUAACUUUUCACACGGUAUUUUUAAAGUGGACUUCCUAUAAUUAAUUAAAAAAAAAUCGCAUUAAAGUUGACAUUUAAAGACUGGUUGUACUAAAUUAAAAUUUUAUUGAUAAAAAUAUUAUUAGAUAAGUUUUAUAGUACAGCAUUCGAUAUAUAUAUUGUUUGUCUCUAGUAUCGAUGUUAGCUAAGCGGUGGGGGAGAUAUUUUUCUUUUCCUCUCUUUAUACUAAAUCAUCGCCAUAACAUUUUAAAGUCUUAUCACUUCUUAUGCAGUAUAUAAAUUAUUGAUCAAGAUACGUUUUAAGAGAAUAUUACCAAGAAUAUAAUCUUAUUGAUGUUUUAUAACACGAUCUAAUGUAAUUUAGAUAGAUUGUAGAGUAUUUAUAUUGCAUUUUCACCAUUUAAUUGAGAAUAAAACUUCCAACAUUUGCUAUUACUGUUUAGCUCAAUUUCGAU